GGGAUAAGGGGUGCCACCAUCCGGUGGCCGCAGAGAAUAGGCCCAAGCGACUGUUUACCAAAAACAUAGGUUUCUGCUAAGUCGUAAGACGAUGUAUAGGAGCUGACGCCUGCCCGGUGCUGGAAGGGUAAGGGGAUCUGUUAGAGCAAGCAGUGAACUGAACUUAAGCCCCAGUAAACGGCGGCCGUAACUAUAACGGUCCUAAGGUAGCG
rnacentral:rRNA from 1 species